rnacentral:rRNA from 1 species
UACGUAGGGUGCAAGCGUUAAUCGGAAUUACUGGGCGUAAAGCGUGCGCAGGCGGCUAUGCAAGCCAGAUGUGAAAUCCCCGGGCUCAACCUGGGAACUGCAUUUGUGACUGCAUGGCUAGAGUACGGCAGAGGGGGAUGGAAUUCCGCGUGUAGCAGUGAAAUGCGUAGAUAUGCGGAGGAACACCGAUGGCGAAGGCAAUCCCCUGGGCCUGUACUGACGCUCAUGCACGAAAGCGUGGGGAGCAAACAGG